rnacentral:rRNA from 1 species
CAAGUCGAACGGGAAAAAGGGGCAACUCUGUGAGUACAGUGGCGUACGGGUGAGUAACACGUGACUACCUACCCUCGAGUGGGGGAUAACCCCGGGAAACCGGGGCUAAUACCGCAUAACAUCGCAAGAUCAAAGGAGCAAUCCGCUUGAGGAGGGGGUCGCGGCUGAUUAGCUAGUUGGUGAGGUAACGGCCCACCAAGGCUAUGAUCGGUAGCCGGCCUGAGAGGGCGCACGGCCACACUGGAACUGAAACACGGUCCAGACUCCUACGGGAGGCAGCAGUGGGGAAUUUUGCGCAAUGGGGGAAACCCUGACGCAGCAACGCCGCGUGGAGGAUGAAGUCCCUUGGGACGUAAACUCCUUUCGACCCGGACGAUAAUGACGGUACGGGUGGAAGAAGCACCGGCUAACUUCGUGCCAGCAGCCGCGGUAAUACGAGGGGUGCGAGCGUNGUUCGGAAUUAUUGGGCGUAAAGGGCGCG